UACGUAGGGGGCUAGCGUUGUCCGGAAUCAUUGGGCGUAAAGCGCGUGUAGGCGGCCCGGUAAGUCCGCUGUGAAAGCCCGGGGCUCAACCCCGGGAGGCGGAUGGAUACUGUUUGGCUCGAGUCCGGAAGAGGCGAGUGGAAUUCCCGGUGUAGCGGUGAAAUGCGCAGAUAUCGGGAGGAGCACCAAUGGCGAAGGCAGCUCGCUGGGACGGUACUGACGCUGAGACGCGAAAGCGUGGGGAGCAAACAGG
rnacentral:rRNA from 1 species